AUUGAACGCUGGCGGCAGGCCUAACACAUGCAAGUCGAGCGGAUGAAGGGAGCUUGCUCCUGGAUUCAGCGGCGGACGGGUGAGUAAUGCCUAGGAAUCUGCCUGGUAGUGGGGGAUAACGUCCGGAAACGGGCGCUAAUACCGCAUACGUCCUGAGGGUGAAAGUGGGGGAUCUUCGGACCUCACGCUAUCAGAUGAGCCUAGGUCGGAUUAGCUAGUUGGUGGGGUAAAGGCCUACCAAGGCGACGAUCCGUAACUGGUCUGAGAGGAUGAUCAGUCACACUGGAACUGAGACAUGGUCCAGACUCCUACGGGAGGCAGCAGUGGGGAAUAUUGGACAAUGGGCGAAAGCCUGAUCCAGCCAUGCCGCGUGUGUGAAGAAGGUCUUCGGAUUGUAAAGCACUUUAAGUUGGGAGGAAGGGCAGUAAGUUAAUACCUUGCUGUUUUGACGUUACCAACAGAAUAAGCACCGGCUAACUUCGUG
rnacentral:rRNA from 1 species